rnacentral:rRNA from 1 species
UCCUUCGGGAAGCGUCUGAGAAGCUUAGUGGCGGACGGGUGAGUAACGCGUGAGCAACCUGCCUUUGCAACCGGGAUAACAGUUGGAAACGACUGCUAAUACGGGAUGACGUACACGGACCGCAUGAUCUGUGUACCAAAGAUGCGUCGUGCAAAGAUGGGCUCGCGUCUGAUUAGAUAGUUGGCGGGGUAACGGCCCACCAAGCCGACGAUCGGUAGCCGACCUGAGAGGGUGAUCGGCCACAUUGGGACUGAGACACGGCCCAAACUCC